rnacentral:lncRNA from 1 species
AAGCAGCUCGCCAGCAUUUUGACUGACAUCCCAAACUCUAUGAGCUGCCACCCUGCAUCCAAAGACUCUCCAACCUUGCCCGACUUCUCAGCCACAGAUAUGGGUUUCUACAGAGGACCGACGGGGGCACAGCCAACAUGAGUACUAUCAGAGCCAGACCUACUCACAAUCUGUGAACCCCUACUCGUACCACCAGUUUAACCCGAACGGAAUGGGGGGCCCGGGGGCAUAACCCACAAAGUCAGAAUACACCUACAGUAACUCAUACAAGCAAUACGGACAUUAUAAACAGGGAGCUGCAGACACCACCCCAGGACACUGCCAAACCCAGCAACUCAGGGCCUAAGCCUGGAGGGGACACACCCAGGACAAGAUGCCAGUCUGUCGCAAGGCACCCCAAGGGGGACUCGAACCCCAGACCCACCAGAGAGCAGGACCCGGUCCAACCCACUGCGCCACCACACCAAGAGGCAAACAAAUUAACCCAGUUUAUUAAACCUUCAUCUCCUAACAACAUCACAUCACAGAAAGUGCAAAGACACGUGGAGGCCUGGAUGGAAAACAACAUGUAUAUACUCCAGGCCCAUCAUGAAGGCAUAAUACACACACACACACAGAAACCCACGUCUGACUUAGCCAGUAAGGCAGAAUGGGAGGUGGCGGUGAAGUGGGCAAAAAGUAGAUACAGAUUACACAAAUUAAAAGAAGAAACAUUGAUCAGAACGAAACCUACGUAACCCCGAACCCUAACUCUUGCCCUAACCAUCACCUUGACCCCAGCCCUCAUCCUAACCCUAUCCUCAGACCACACAUCAUACACGCUCAAAAAAUUUUUUUUCCUAAAAAACAUCUCCCAUCCACAGCCUACCCCAAUCCAAGCAUACAAACCUGUCCUGGACACCUAAACCCCAGCCACAUCACAAGACAUUCACCACAGAAAUUUCAAACCCACCUGCAAUUCUACACAAAACACCCACAAGGGAGAGCCAUCACUCCACAAUGGACAUCUCUCUCUCUCUCACACACA